AAAAACAAAGGAAAAGCUGAGACAAUUUUCAUUGCAGAUCUAUGCAGCUCCCUACCUAUGUACUUAUUUAUUUUUUAUAUUUUACAUUUUUAUGUCCCUCAAGGAGUUCCUUUCUAUGAGACCGUGG
rnacentral:ribozyme from 13 species